GCUUCUUUAACACAUGCACUAAAACUGGAACAAUACAGAUUAGCAUGGCCCCUCCCCAAGGAUG
rnacentral:snRNA from 1 species